AACAUCCAUAGCUCAGUGGUUAGCACUGUGUCUUGUAAACCAGGGUCGUGAGUUCAAUUCCUCACUGGUGUUA